GACAUGUACGGAUUUACAAGCAUUACAAAACAUCUAAACGUAUAGCAACAUCUACACAUGUACACAGAGUUUUCAACUUGUCCAUAUGGACACUACCUGAUCAUGUACAUUGUUACUACUACUACUACUACUACUACUACUACAACAAAGGUGAAUGUCAAUCAAUAUUCAUUACAUCUUUUAAGAUAUCGCAACGUGUACAUUGGUAUUUAACAUGUCCACAUGGACUCCUUUUAUCAAUAUACUAUGUUCACAUCACAGUUUACAUUGUAUACCGUGUCCAC
rnacentral:lncRNA from 1 species